GACGGGGGGUUCAAGCGUUGUUCGGAAUCAUUGGGCGUAAAGCGCGUGCAGGUGGCUUUGCAAGUCAGAUGUGAAAGCCCAGGGCUUAACCCUGGAAGUGCAUUUGAAACUGCUCAGCUUGAGUAUGGAAGAGGGUCGUGGAAUUCCAGGUGUAGUGGUGAAAUACGUAGAUAUCUGGAGGAACACCGGUGGCGGAGGCGGCGACCUGGUCCAAUACUGACACUCAUACGCGAAAGCGUGGGGAUCAAACAGG
rnacentral:rRNA from 1 species